rnacentral:rRNA from 1 species
GACGUAGGGCGCGAGCGUUGUCCGGAUUUAUUGGGCGUAAAGAGCUCGUAGGCGGCUUGUCGCGUCGGUCCGUGAAAACCCGGGGCUCAACUCCGGGCUUGCGGGCGAUACGGGCAGGCUAGAGUUCGGUAGGGGAGACUGGAAUUCCUGGUGUAGCGGUGAAAUGCGCAGAUAUCAGGAGGAACACCUAUGGCGAAGGCAGCUCGCUGGGACGUUACUGACGCUGAGACGCGAAAGCGUGGGGAGCAAACAGG